rnacentral:rRNA from 1 species
GACGAACGCUGGCGGCGUGCUUAACACAUGCAAGUCGAACGGAAAGGCCCUGCUUGCAGGGUACUCGAGUGGCGAACGGGUGAGUAACACGUGGGUGAUCUGCCCUGCACUUCGGGAUAAGCCUGGGAAACUGGGUCUCAUACCGGAUAGGAGCCAUUUUUAGUGUGAUGGUUGGAAAGUUUUUUCGGUGUAGGAUGAGCUCGCGGCCUAUCAGCUUGGUGGUGGGGUAAUGGGCUACCAAGGCGGCGACGGGUAGGCGGCCUGAGAGGGUGGACGGCCACAAUGGGACUGGGAUACGGCCCAGACUCCUACGGGAGGCAGCAGGGGGGAAUAUUGCACAAUGGGCGCAAGCCUGAUGCAGCGACGCCGCGUGGGGGAUGACGGCCUUCGGGUUGUAAACUCCUUUCGCUAGGGACGAAGCUGUUUGUGACGGUACCUAGAUAAGAAGCACCGGCUAACUACGUG